AGAGUUUGAUCAUGGCUCAGGACGAACGCUGGCGGCGUGCUUAACACAUGCAAGUCGAACGAUGAUGCCCUUCGGGGUGGAUUAGUGGCGAACGGGUGAGUAACACGUGGGCAACCUGCCCCCUACUCUGGGAUAACUCCGGGAAACCGGGGCUAAUACUGGAUAUGACCUGCUGCCGCAUGGUGGUGGGUGGAAAGUUU
rnacentral:rRNA from 1 species